UAUAUUAAAGUUGUUGCAGUUAAAAAGCUCGUAGUUGGAUUUCUGGUACAAUGCGCCUGGCCCGCGGCGGUUACGUCUGUGAGUGCCGGUGCGCGUUUGCCAUCCAUCUAGAAAACGUUUCUACCCUUCACUGGGCCGGACUCGCGAUCUAGAUCUUUUACUUUGAAAAAAUUAGAGUGUUUAAAGCAGGCUUUUUGCUGUGAAUACAUUAGCAUGGAAUAAUAAUCUAGGACUUCGGUUCUAUUUUGUUGGUUUCUAGUACUGAAGUAAUGAUUGAUAGGGAUAGUUGGGGGUGCUAGUAUUGGCCGGCCAGAGGUGAAAUUCUUGGAUUCGGUCAAGACUAACUUAUGCGAAAGCAUUCACCAAGGAUGUCUUCUUUAAUCAAGAACGAAAGUUGGGGGAUCGAAGACGAUCAGAUACCGUCGUAGUCUCAACCAUAAACUAUGCCAACUAGGGAUGGGUGAACGUUGCUUUUCGACUUCAUCCGCACCUUAUGAGAAAUCAAAGUCUUUGGGUUCCGGGGGGAGUAUGGUCGCAAGGCUGAAAC
rnacentral:rRNA from 1 species